AUUCCAUUCCCCAAUCUCGAUUCCCGAUCCCGCCCCCCGUUUAAUUGUUUUGUGCCGCUCAAUUUCAAUUUGAAGCAGUUUGAAUCAAUUUAUGCAAAUAAAAUUGUAUAAAAAUGGAAAGGCCAUUCUUUUCUCGUUUCUUCUCUAGAUUUCAGUUUCUUGUCUGGUGUCAAUCUGCUGCUCUAAUGAUUCUUUAUUUAUAGACCAAGCAAUAUGGGUUCUUUCGUCAACGACACAUUUCCGUUAAUUGUUUCAGGUUUUUGUCGUGGGCCCCCGAGUAUAGAAUAGAUCUAUUAUUAAUCCGUCAAAUCCCGGUCACAUGUGCAAGAUUUCGCACACAAACAGUCCAUCGAUUUUUGUGAGUAGGAGUGUCGUCUGUACUUUGCCCUGGCCCCAAAAUCGACUUCUCUUCGAAGUGGUCUGGCCUUGUCAUCAAAUUGCUGUCAAGAAUUCCAGUAUAGAACAGAAUAAAACAGAACCGAACCGAACCGAAGAAGAACCAGCGGCUCAGGGGUUUAAUUACGACGCUGAAGUCGGUGUCGGUGUCGGUGUCUAGUCGGGUCUGAUAAAUGAUAUAUGUUACAUAUGUAUUUAUGUGCAUAUAUUUGUGGCUUGCUCUUGUGUGUGUUGCCAUAUUUCGUUUCCCCUUUCUACAGACGCUUCGUAUACAGUUUUUAGCCAGUUGUUUUGGUCAUGUUACGUUCCAUUCUCGCAUACUUCGCCACACUUCAGCAUAUUUCGCCACAAGGUUGAAUGAACUGCCCUGACCUCUCUCUCUCUCUCUUCCAGGGGUCGCCUGCACUCAGAUAUGUAAGUCUGUCUGGGAAGCUGCAUUCCCUGAAACAUCAAUUUACAUUGACUUGCAAUAAAAUGUGACAUUGAAGACGAUUCACAUUUUAUAUUACUGACUCAUAAAUAUUAUUUAUUAUCUAACAUCGUUAUCAAAUCACGCACGAAAAUUGCCAAAAAAAUACCGAUUGCAUCACUUCGCUACGGUGCGUGUCUACUUUUACUAUUCGUAUUCAUUGUAAAUAAAAAUGAAGGAAUGAAAGCUAGAAUGAUUUCCUUUUCGAUCUUUCUUUGGUUGUUAUUGUCUCUACUUAGUUUUCCCCUGAUAAACUAAAUACAAUGUAUUGUUUCUCGUUUAAAUAAAGCUCUCAUUAACAUCAUUAAGAUAUCUACGUUUCUUCUCACUAUUUGUCUCUCUCUCUCUCUUUCUCUCUUUGUGGAUCUAUUCUAGAACUGUACUGCCGGAGAUCACUCAAAAAAUUAACACCUAUCUCGUUGAGACGUGACAGAUCACUAGAAUUCGGUUUUUAAACCUUGAAAUCGACAUUUUAGCAAUGUGAAAUAUGUACAUACAUAUGUACAUAUGUCGAAAAACAAGGGUAAUAUUAUUAGGGAUUAAGAUUUCGUCCGAAUGAGAGAAGAAUUGUGCAAGAACGAAGGCAAUGUAUUUUUGUAGCGUGAGAAUGUUUGAGAAAAUGCCGACAGGCAUAAAAAAAAAUCGCAGAUGCAUGCCAGAAACAUGUAGCAUAAAUAGAAGGCAUAAAUAGUCUGCUCUCUCUCGCUGUGGUAAUAGUCCUCUCUGGGAAAACCACCCGGUCGAGCCCCUCGCAGACGAUACAGAUACCGUUACUGGGAAAUCGGCUGGAAUCAACAGAGAACAGUCGGCGGCAUAGUGCAAAGCAUAUCCAAUAUUUCAUCAGCAAAAAUGUGAUCCCCCUCUUUUCUACGAUUAUAUUCGGAAUGCAUUAGGCAAUCAUAAGCUUUUUUUGUACGCUGAUCUGGCUAUGUGCGCUGAACUGAGAGCGGGCCAAAAUUAAAAGAGAGCAAGCAACCACGAUAAAGAGACCGGUAAUAUAUGUACAUAGAGCGAAACAUUCGGGCAAUGAGAGGGGAGGGGAAGGAACGUGGUGCAAAGGAUGAGAAGACAAAGGAUGGGCAUAUCUUAUAAAAAACUCUCAUGAAGGGGAAAAACGGCCUGGUGUUACUGACCCAUCUUUGGCUGAUGAAAUUGAAAUCUAACUUUCAUGAGCUUCUCCUUGUAGAAAUGCAUUGCAUCAUCCUCAAAAGUUUAUUAGUGUUCUACAUUAUUAGUGCUUUACAGAGAUAAACCAAAACCAAGUUUAUUGUUAAAAUGUAAAACUUUAUUCAAAAAAUCAGCACUAGUUUUUGUUUUUAGAUUACAAUUAAUUUGAUUUUGCAUAAAUUAUAUGAAACCGCAUGAAUUUGUUUCAAUUUACAGGAAUAGACAAAAGUUGUUACACGUUUGAGAUUCGAUUUAAGGCAAUCGAUCAGUUAGAGUGGAAUAUGUAAUAAUACAAUUUGAGCUGAAUUCAGACAAGCUGACGAUUGCACGGGAAAUUCUUACAGAAUAUCGUUGUAUUUAUGUAUGGUAUGUGUUUGCUGAUCUGAUCCGUGAUCUGUGGCAGAGCUGUAUGGGUAGCUAUAUAGAUAUGAGGGUCUCUGGUCUGACUGUGUCUGUAGUUUCUAUGUGUGUCCACAGUUUGGAACUGCUUUUCAGUUACUAUUGAGUUUGAGUUUAAGAGUUAUUAUUAGGUUUUAUCUGUGACUUGAGUUGACUUGAGUCCAGUUCAGUUUGGUUGAUUGAUUGACUGUAGUUUGAUGGUAUAUUAGUUGAGUUUCAGUGCUUGUGUGUGAUGUGAGGGCUGUGCUAAAAAUUCCUUGUCCAUGGACGUAAAUGCUUAAUGUCUAGCAAAGUACG
rnacentral:sRNA from 1 species